rnacentral:rRNA from 1 species
GAUGAACGCUAGCGGCAGGCUUAAUACAUGCAAGUCGUGGGGCAGCAGGGUUGUAGCAAUACAAUCGCUGGCGACCGGCAAACGGGUGCGGAACACGUACGCAACCUUCCUUUAAGUGGAGGAUAGCCCGGGGAAACCCGGAUUAAUACUCCGUAAUAUUAUGAGAUGGCAUCAUCUUAUAAUUAUAGCUCCGGCGCUUAAAGAUGGGCGUGCGCCUGAUUAGGUAGUUGGCGGGGUAACGGCCCACCAAGCCUACGAUCAGUAACUGGU